UUACAGUGGCUGCUAAUUUACAGAAGAUUGUAGAUGAUCCCAAAGCUUUAAAAACAUUGACAUUUAAGUUGGCUUCUGGCUGUGAUGGGUCGGAGAUUCCUGAUGAAGUGAAGCUGAUUGGGUUUGCUCAGUUGAGUGUCAGCUGAUGUAUGUCCCUUGAUGUCACCCUGAUCUGUCAUGCCCCACCGCCACCCCUACUCCCUUCAACCCUCCCUCUUUCUGCCCAUUUCCUCCCACCCCCUCACUCCCAUUUCCUAGCAAAAUCAGAAGAUUGUGAAGAGGCCGGCUUCAACAAAAUGGGAUAAAAAAAUAAUUUUUUAAAACUUACAACACUCCGAGUUCUGCUUUAUUCUCUAGCAAUCCACAGUACAAGAACAAGCAAAUGCCACAGCUGCACGACUGUUGCUCAUUUUUCCAAAAGCUAUUUAAUAUUCUUAGCAAUCAAUUUGGAUAUCCCUUAAGUGAAAAGAAUCUGAAAUACACUCAGGUGGUCUUAUUUAUUGGCAACAAAAGGAAUUUUCUAUCCAGAAGCCUAUUUCUCCUUUCAUUGUUGUUAUUUCUGUUAUAAUACUUUAAUUGUACAUCUGACAAUACUGCCUCUUUUAUGUUGUAUUUAGAAAUUAAUAUACUUAUAAAAUUAAGAUUUAUUAGCCAAACUUGAAUUCUAGUUUUAAAACUGACUGUGAAUUUUAUUUUUCAUAUAUUUAUGCAUUACACACCUUAGCUAUAAGAAAAAAAGGGUUUUGAUUAUAUGCUUCUUGCAGUUAAUCUCGUUAUUUAAACAAAAAGUUUUGGGUCUGUCUUUGGAGUAUUUGUAACUUCUAAAUUUUGAAAUGACUGAAUUAGGAAUUUGGAUGCUUAUUCUUUUAGUCUGUUUGCCUAAAAACCAAUUUACAAUCUGACUGUCUCUUGGGAGAGGGAGGUGCCUUGCAAACUUUCACAUUAAGAAUGUGCCUGAGGCUGCUUUACUCUGGAAUAGUCUCAGAUCUAAAAUUUCCUCUAUAUAAGGUGGCAUAUGUUAAGUUUUGCUUCAUUGGACCGUUUAGAAUGCUAUGUAAAAUGUUGCCAUUCUGUUAGAUUGCUAACUAUAUACCCAUCUCUGAUUUGGCUCUCCUUAAGUGAUAGGAUUUGUUAUUCUAAAGGUGAUAAACUUGAAAAUAUCAGAAUCUGAGUUUUACUUGAAAUUUUGCAGAAUACCCAGGUGGAGUGAAAAUUGGAAGGGUUUUGUGCAAUGACUAAAAGGUAAAACGCUGUUAAGGUUCAAGAAUCAAUACUUUCAACCCAAGUAGCCCUCUGCUUGACUGUAUAUUAUGGAACUAGUAAACCUUAGGAUUUUGAAAAUUGGAGUCUAAUCUUUCAAGGAGGUGGGCUCCCAGGAUGGUACCAUUGCUCUUUCCUAGCUAACCCUAGAUAUGGCAGCUCUUUAAUGUACUUCAAAAAGCAAAUAUAUAUUACUAAGGAAAAAAAGUUAUUUAUAAUUGCCUUGUCAUAAUUGUUAAGGUGUUCUAGAGCCAUUUGCAUACAAUUUAAUGUAAUUUCAUUCCAUUCUAUUGUUUACACAACGAUUACUCGAAGAUGACUGCAAAGGUAAAAGGAAAAUAAAAGUGUAUUGCACAA
rnacentral:lncRNA from 1 species